GAGUGGCGAACGGGUGAGUAAUGCAUCGGAACGUGCCCAGUCGUGGGGGAUAACCACUCGAAAGAGUGGCUAAUACCGCAUACGACCUGAGGGUGAAAGCGGGGGACCGCAAGGCCUCGCGCGAUUGGAGCGGCCGAUGUCGGAUUAGCUAGUUGGUGGGGUAAAGGCUUACCAAGGCGACGAUCCGUAGCUGGUCUGAGAGGACGACCAGCCACACUGGGACUGAGACACGGCCCAGACUCCUACGGGAGGCAGCAGUGGGGAAUUUUGGACAAUGGGCGCAAGCCUGAUCCAGCCAUGCCGCGUGCGGGAAGAAGGCCUUCGGGUUGUAAACCGCUUUUGUCAGGGAAGAAAAGCUCUGGGCUAAUACCUCGGAGUGAUGACGGUACCUGAAGAAUAAGCACCGGCUAACUACGUGCCAGCAGCCGCGGUAAUACGUAGGGUGCGAGCGUUAAUCGGAAUUACUGGGCGUAAAGCGUGCGCAGGCGGUUGUGCAAGACAGAUGUGAAAUCCCCGGGCUUAACCUGGGAACUGCAUUUGUGACUGCACGG
rnacentral:rRNA from 1 species